UACUCGGGCACACACAUACAAAUAAAAUAAAUAAAUCUUUUGUAAAAAUGUAUCAGUGCCAAUAUAAGAUUGGUUUAAAAGACUUUAAACACAGGACAUAGGCGCGUAGAGGCUGAUACAUGAUAAGACCUUAUUAAAUAUUUUCAGGAAGUAAAAAUUAAAAGCAGUUCAUCAAUAUUUCUUAACCCUGUGAUUAAUUUAAAUAAUAUUUGUGAAAAUGACCUUUGAACCUGUUAAGUAUCAUUUGUAUCACAUAUUCUUUUGAGCACACAAGGUAAAAAUGGUUUCCCAUUGUCAAAGUGAGCUGUUUUGUAAAUCUAACUUCCUAAAUUUUUAUUUACUUAUUAAACUUUUGUGUAGGCUGUUUAUUAGUUCGGUUGUUGAUUCAUUUAUCCAGUGUACUUAGAUGAGUUCCCCAAAAGUUUUCCUUUCCCUGUUACUCAGUUUACAAUGUGUGCUUAGUUCAUUAACUUGCUAUGUCAUUUACUUAAGAUUGGUGAUGGCUUUCCUGCGAACUAUGCCUAGAACACGGACUUGUCUACUUAAGCUGCAAAUAAAGGCUUAAAUACAAUAGUCUGCAGUGGAAAAUCUUAUUUUUGAAAGAGAUUAUUAGUAGUAGUACUUUAUGUUUUGUGUUUCCAGUUUGUCUAUAAAUAAUGUUCAUUCAGCUUGACACAUACUUAUUGAACUUCUAGUCAAUGGCUGAAACAUUCUUUUUUUGAAACAUUCUUUACUGACAUUGAUUUUAGAGGCAUAUAGUAACUUUCACUUUAUUAUUACUUUGUAAUAUAGCCUGUCCAUGGAUUCUCUUUCUUGUGCUGGAAGGCAGUGUCACUAGCUCUUCAUUGAUUUAUACCCCAUUUGUAGGUGUUUGUACUGCGUCCACACCAUUUGUGCUAUUGGGAGAUGUCUUAGACUGCCUUCCUUUGGAUCAGUGUGACACAAUAUUCACUUUUGUUGAAAAAAAUGUUGCUACUUGGAAGUCAGUAAGUGCCUUGGUUUCCUUUCCUGAUAAUCCUAGCACUAUAGAGAUAGAAUUCAGAAGAAAGCUUUGUUUGUAGUUUAUUUGGUAAUAAUUCUAAUACUGGUGGUUGCCAAAACAUUUGUCCCUGUGAAAGAAUUAUAUAUUAUGUAAUAAUAAGAAUCAAAUGUAGAGAAAAUUUUGAGGUACAAAAUUUAAUAAGUAACUUGAAAGUACAUGCUUUCAAGCAGGCAUAGUAUUGUAAAGUUAUGAGGUAUAGGUAGGAAUGCUGUGUUCCAAGCUAGCCUGGUCUCCACAGGGAGAACCUGUCACAAACAAAGAAAGAAAGCUGGGGGAUGGCUUAGCAGUUUAGAGUACUUGUUACUCCUUUAGAGAACCUGGGUUUGAUUUCCAGUACUCAAACAUGGUGGCUUACCAUCAUACAUAACUCCAGUUCAAGGUGAUCUGAUGCCCUCUUCUAGCCUUUUUGCAUACACACAUACAUAGAUGUAUGUAUAGUACACAUACAUAGAUGCAGGAAGAACACUCAUAAAAUAAACAAAUAUAAAACAAAUUUUUAAAGAUAAAGCAAACACACACACACACACUUCUAGAUGUUUACAAGUUAUUCAGUGAUAUGCUGUUAAUGCAUAUUCAAGUGGAAAUGCUUGAAAUCAGUAACAGUAGUGAAAUAGACUCUUAUACAUUAGUGCUCUUUAAUAUUUUAAUUCCUAUGACUUAUUGAAGGGAGUGGGCAACUUUCAAAGUAUAGUAAUAAUUUUGGUCUUAAUUUCAGAAUACAUUCUAUUCUGCUGGCAAAAAUUAUUUACUGCGUAUGUGCAAUGGUAAGUAACUCAGUAUUAAAUUACUCUUUUAAAACUGUGAACGUGACCAGAAGAAUAGGUGUUGGUGGUUUAAUAUUUAACAAUGACGAUGUCUUUUGUUUGUUUGUUUGUUUUUGUUUUUUUCGAGACAGGGUUUCUCUGUGUAGCCCUGGCUGUCCUGGAACUCACUGUAGACCAGGCUGGCCUCAAACUCAGAAAUCCGCCUGCCUCUGCCUCUGCCUCCCGAGUGCUGGGAUCAAAGGCGUGCGCCACCACUCCCCAGCAAUGAAGAUGUUUUAAAAGUGAAUUAGGAUCUUUGUUUUUAAGUUAAGUAAUUUAUUAAAACUCAUCAUUCACUUUCAUUGGUUUUUACCCACAGAUUUUUGUUUCUAACUUAUAGUACUUUCUUUGACAAUGACUGAUACUUCCAUUUGCUUUAGGAAAAUCCUGGGCAAAUGGCUAAAAAUUCAGGUACAAUUAUAAUAAACAUAAAAUGAUUUCUUCUGUCUUAUUCAUUUCUGAACAUUGUUAGAUCUCCUCAGAAGAUUGUCUAAAUCUCAGAAUACAGUUUUCUGUGGAAGAAUUCAACUCUUUUUGGCCAGGCUUUUUCCUCUAUCUGAGAAAUCAGGUAAGUUUCUAUACAUUAUAUUCUUUUUAAGGAACUCUCUCCCAGUUUUUAUGGAGUAAAAUCUGUCAUAAUAAGAAAACUUAACAUAAAAUAUUGAAAGCAUUAUAAAAUUGCUUUACUUUCUUAUAAAUUCGCCAGCUCUAUGUAUGAUAUAGAUAGUCUUAAAUUCAAAGUUUAUUAACAGGGUGCUACUGAAUCAUAGUAAUAUGUGUAGGUAUGAACUAUUCUGUCUGUAUUCAAUUUCAGAAUAUAAGCCUAUUCUGUUUCCAUUUUCUGUUACAGUAAUUGCUGUUUAGUACACAUGAAAUUCCUUUAAUUUUAUAAUUUUUUAAACAAC
rnacentral:lncRNA from 1 species